AAUUUUUAUUUUUGCCAUUUGUUUGAAUAGGUUAGUAUUUCUUUUGGUACCUACAUUGAUUUUUACUUUCAUUAUUACCCUCGUUACUUCUCAACUUCAUACGGGAAGAGUUAAAUUAGAAAUUGAGUGGCGCUCAACCAUUGGUAAGCGCAACGAAGAACGAAGAUUAAAUGCCCAGAACGGACUACCGCUGUGACAGAUCUCAAGCGUGUAUUUUCUUGUUUAACCCUGAGCUAGUUGGCCCCUUGACUCUAAUAUGACAAUUUCUCCUAUGUGUGUCCAUUGUUAUUUUCUAUUUAAAGCUUUGGAUUUGAAUCGAACUACUCCUUUUUCAUGGCAUGAUUGUUCGGUAUCGUAUAUUUUGAUUAAUUAUCAAGCUAAACUACACAAACACCAUAAACAACAAUUUAAGAACAUGAAACGCUUAACAAUAAAACAAGAAAAUGGAAAUGACACAUUAUAACAUUAUCGUUUGCAAUUAUUAAAUGGUAAAACUGUUCACAAUUCUUACAUGGCACUGUAUUAAUCCCUAGGCGUCUAGUGCGCCUGGUGGGAAAUCGUCAUGGGUUGUUUAAUGCGGCCAUCCCGGCACCGAUUUACUUCCCGGCUCCAAUUAUCCCGGCAAUGGGCAAUCUCGGCAAUAAUGUACAUCUCGACUUUGGUCGUCCCGGCAAUUUGAACUGUGCGAUCGGGGUGAUAGAACACAUUUAAGACACGGUAAACAUAUAAUACAAUCUGAAUAGAGACUGUAUUAUCAAAUUGUAUCGAUCGCCAGGUCUUGUGACACCUCGUCAACGGAAGCGUAUCACCAGAUCUCGUGGAGGUGUCGACGGAAGGGGACUAUAUCAUUUCGGCACUGGGGACCUCCGUAGUGCAUUUUCAUUGUGCUUACAACCAUAGAUACAACCAUAUUGGUCGUUGAACCUUCCUUUAUCACGAGUUGAUGGAUAUCACAUCACCUCGGUCCUGUCACGGUCGCCAAAAAUGUUAGAUCUCCGAAGAACUACCCAUCAUACAGGGAAAUUGUAUGUAAUUAGUAUCCAUUGUUUUUUCAUUAUUAGCAGUAUUAGCACUUUGCAAUGCACGGCCAAAGAAAUCUUGGACUUCCAUUUUAACCUUUUUAGCAGCAUUAACAUUUUCUUUAAUUAUACACCCAAUCAAAUGACAACUACAAGAGCCCCAGAUUGAUUUAGAGCAAUUCAUAUGGGAGGAAAAAACUUUAAACUCACAAAACCUGGUGCAUUAUGUUGUUCAUACGAAAAUAAUAAUAAUUCAUUAGUUUUCGAUGUUUACAAAGCUUAUUCAAGUGCAGAGUAAAUGGCCACUCAACGGCAUUUGUUCUAAAAAAUGUUAAAAAUUGAAAUAAUGACGACUAUAGCACAAUUCCAAUAAUCUGCGUUACAGUGAUCCAAUCUGAAACCUACUUUGCAUAUCGUGCCGAAAAAGUUGCGAAUCGUCUCUAUCUAAGGUAAAGUAACAUUGGCGAUAAAAAUUGAUCUCGCGAGCAACUUCGGUAAUUAUGGGAAUCUAGUAAGCUACUUUGUAAACAUGAGUGCUCUUGAAAGUUUCGUCAUUAUAUUAGAAAUUGCUAGAUAUCAAUUCGAAGCUCGAACGGAAUAGUGAACGUGCACUCUUUAGAAGACUGUAAAAAUUUUGUUACUUUUAAACUUUCGCGAUAAUUGCGUUUGUUUAACUGCAAAUCGCGCUCUGUACAAAAUCGUAAAACACCUCUCCGAUACUUUUCGCUAGGCGAAAAAGAUGGCCGCCGCCCGAAUGGAACCUAUAAAUUUUAGAAAUGAUUUUUGUUUAUGGCAUAUUACUACCUACCGUAAUUUCCAACUCGUAUUCAACGGUUGUGUAUCAGUUAUUCUGAUACACUUAAGUUAUUUAUUAUUCAUUCUAGUUUACUCGAAAAGCCAUAAUGGCUGCAUUUACGCAAUAAAAUAUUUUAUGCGCAAUAAAGCGGAACAUCCAAACGUCGCAGGUGUCGUUUAGUUAGACCAAUAUUGCUUUAUUGCUCGAACUGCAUUCAAUAAAACUGGUAUUAUUCAAAAUUAAUUUUAAUGUCAAGAAAAUUGUUUAGUCGUGGAGAGGAAAAUAAAAGCAAUAAAAUUCUAAUCGCCUUAACUGAGCCCUGCCCGUUUUUUUUUUAAAAGAAGCUUUAUAUGUAGGUAGGUAGGGAUACUUAUCUUUAAAACCGUAAUCAGAUUUUCAUUUCACCGACGUAUGCAUAAACCGUAUUUGCAAUAACAGGCAGACCUUACGUAAGCAAUCAGAAAAAUCAAUGGAAAAUUAUAAACUCUGUAUGUGUACUGGAUAUAAAUGGAAUAGGGGGGGAUUUGUUGCCAGUUUGAUAUUAUUACCCGGAAGCAUUUCGCUUUUCUAUCGGAAUGGAUUUGCCCAUUUGUCGAAUUGAUGAAAGCAGGAUGAGUGAUUAAUUUUACUACUCACGUGGGUUGAUGGUUGUUGAAAGUGAGAUCAAUGGCGAGACGAUAUCAACUACAAAAG